UACGGAGGGUGCAAGCGUUAUCCGGAUUCACUGGGUUUAAAGGGUGCGUAGGUGGGCAAGUAAGUCAGUGGUGAAAUCUCCGGGCUUAACCCAGAAAGGUCAACCGAUACUGCGGGGCUAGAGUGCAGAAGGGGCAACUGGAAUUCUCGGUGUAGCGGUGAAAUGCGUAGAUAUCGAGAGGAACACCUGCGGCGAAGGCGGGUUGCUGGGCUGACACUGACGCUGAAGCGCGAAAGCUAGGGGAGCGAACGGG
rnacentral:rRNA from 1 species